rnacentral:rRNA from 1 species
UACAGAGGGUGCGAGCGUUAAUCGGAAUUACUGGGCGUAAAGCGUGCGCAGACGGUCUCGUAAGUCGGGUGUGAAAUCCCCGGGCUCAACCUGGGAAUUGCAUUCGAAACUGCGAGGCUAGGGUACGGAAGAGGGAAGCGGAAUUUCUGGUGUAGCGGUGAAAUGCGUAGAUAUCAGAAGGAACAUCAGUGGCGAAAGCGGCUUCCUGGUCCAGUACCGACGUUCAGGCACGAAAGCGUGGGGAGCAAACAGG